GUGAGGAAUAUUGCUCAAUGGACGAAAGUCUGAAGCAGCAACGCCGCGUGAGCGAUGAAGGCCUUCGGGUCGUAAAGCUCUUUUCCCAAGGAAGAGGAAGGACGGUACUUGGGGAAUAAGUCACGGCUAACUACGUGCCAGCAGCCGCGGUAAAACGUAGGUGGCAAGCGUUAUCCGGAUUCACUGGGCGUAAAGGGCACGCAGGCGGCUCUGCAGGUAGGGCAUGAAAUCUCCCGGCUUAACUGGGAGGGGCUGUCCUAAACCGCGGGGCUUGAGGGUGGGAGAGGAAAGUGGAAUUGCCGGUGUAGUGGUGAAAUGCGUAGAGAUCGGCAGGAACACCAGUGGCGAAGGCGACUUUCUGGUCCACCCCUGACGCUCAUGUGCGAAAGCUAGGGUAGCGAACGGGAUUAGAAACCCGAGUAGUCC
rnacentral:rRNA from 1 species